rnacentral:rRNA from 1 species
ACGAACGCUGGCGGCGUGCUUAACACAUGCAAGUCGAACGAUGAAGCCCAGCUUGCUGGGUGGAUUAGUGGCGAACGGGUGAGUAACACGUGAGUAACCUGCCCUUGACUCUGGGAUAAGCGCUGGAAACGGCGUCUAAUACCGGAUACGACCUGCCCCGGCAUCGGGUGUGGGUGGAAAGUUUUUCGGUCAAGGAUGGACUCGCGGCCUAUCAGCUUGUUGGUGAGGUAAUGGCUCACCAAGGCGACGACGGGUAGCCG